rnacentral:rRNA from 1 species
UACGGAAGGCAGCAGUGGGGAAUAUUGCACAAUGGGCGAAAGCCUGAUGCAGCUAUGCCGCGUGUAUGAAGAAGGCCUUAGGGUUGUAAAGUACUUUCAUCGGGGAGGAAAAAACAAAACUAAUAAUUUUAUUUCUUGACGUUACCCGAAAAAGAAGCACCGGCUAACUCCGUGCCAGCAGCCGCGGUAAUACGGAGGGUGCUAGCGUUAAUCAGAAUUACUGGGCGUAAAGAGCACGUAGGUGGUUUUUUAAGUCAGAUGUGAAAUCCCUGGGCUUAACCUAGGAACUGCAUUUUGAAACUGAAAUACUAGAGUAUCGUAGAGGGAGGUAGAAUUCUAGGUGUAGCGGUGAAAUGCGUAGAUAUCUGGAGGAAUACCUGUGGCGAAAGCGGCCUCCUAAACGAAUACUGACACUGAGGUGCGAAAGCUGGGGGAGCAAAACAGGGAUUUAGGAUACC